GAACUCUCGUACAAAAGCCGAAGGACUUGUUUCAUUGAAGGUCUAGCCCGCCCUUCUCUUUGGGUGCACCAUCUCACAAUGGACACAACUGUCUGAAGUUGGUCUAAGUUGAAGGAGUCCUUAAUAUGGGGGUCUAGAAGCUCGUGACCAUCUCCAAAAGUAGCACACCAUAGCUGUACACAUCGCUUUUAUCAGUUCUAAGCAAAUAGAGCCACCUUUUGAAGCAUGUGCAAGGCCAAAAUCUGCAACCUAGAGGAUACAAUAAAGCAGAAAGCAUUGACGAAAACUAUUCAUACUUCAUUUUCUGUUAUCCAAAUAUAUGUAUACCGAGAAAGAAAAAUGUUAUACAAACCAAUGCAUUGGGAAAAUUAAAAGGAAAUCAGAAGUUCUGGUGAAUUCAACGGACCCGAUACCUUUGCAACAAAAUCCUCAUCCAACAGAAUGUUGCUUGAUUUGAUGUCCCUGUGGCACAGAGGUGGAUCACAAUAAAAGUGAAGGUACUCCUGCAAGGUUCGUACGAGGAAAGAGAAAUGAUUUAGCAAGACUAUAAUUUUGUAUUAAUGAACUGCAAAUCCGAAAAAGAACAACUGCUACUACCAAAGCAUUAGCCACAUCAAUCGCAAUUUGUAUUCUGGUUUCCCAA